rnacentral:lncRNA from 1 species
UGCUCUCAAAAGCCAAUAACCACUUCUCUCAUUCUUAUUGCAAUGGCAAAUCAAGCUUCUUCUUCUUCAUCACGUAAAACCAAAACCCCUCACAAUGAUGAUCCAGUGGCCGAGUCUCCUCAUGAAAUUGUCCUUGCGGCUCAGAAGCUUAUGCAACUCAGCGACCAUAAUCGCAAGGAUAACAAAGAGAUUGAUCAAAUGCAAAGCGAUAUGAAGAUCGAUGAGAAUUCAGAGAUUAUUGAUCGGCCAAAGAAGAUGAAGAAAUAUAGGUCAAUUGUGAGUAUAUAUAAGGUCACAAAACC